CGAUGUCGGCUCAUCACAUCCUGGGGCUGUAGUAGGUCCCAAGGGUUGGGCUGUUCGCCCAUUAAAGUGGUACGCGAGCUGGGUUCAGAACGUCGUGAGACAGUUCGGUCCCUAUCCGUCGCAGGCGUAGGAAAGUUGAGAAGACCUGUCCUUAGUACGAGAGGACCGGGAUGGACGUACCUCUGGUGUACCAGUUGUCCUGCCAAGGGCAUGGCUGGGUAGCUAUGUACGGAAUGGAUAAGCGCUGAAAGCAUCUAAGCGCGAAGCCAACUUCAAGAUAAGAUUUCCCACCGCAAGGGUAAGACCCCAGAAAGACUAUCUGGUUGAUAGGUCGAAGGUGUAAGUGCAGCAA
rnacentral:rRNA from 1 species